rnacentral:rRNA from 1 species
CACGCCGUAAACGAUGUGUGCUAGCCGUUGGGGCACUUGGUGUCUCGGUGGCGCAGCUAACGCGAUAAGCACACCGCUUGGGGAGUACUGUCGCAAGAUUAAACCUCAAAGGAAUUGACGCAGGUCCGCACAAGCGGUGGAGCAUGUGGCUUAAUUCGAAGCUACGCGCAGAACCUUACCAGCCCUUCACAUGGUCGUAGCGGCCCGGAGAGAUCCGGUCUUUCAGUUCGGCUGGACGCCACACAGGUGGUGCAUGACUGUCGUCAGCUCGUCUCGUGAGAUGUUGGGUUGAGUCACGCAACGAGCGCAACCCUCGCCCUUAGUUGCCAUCGGUUCGGCCGGGCACUCUAGGGGAACUGCCGGUGACAAGCCGGAGGAAGGCGGGGAUG